CGAAAGUAACCAAUUGUUAGAAUGAAUUGUUGAAGGAUUCCAUUGUUUGCGCCGUUUCGUUGGAAAAGAAAACACGGAACCGAGAAGAAGAAGAAGAAGAAGAAUCGUUAAGCUGAAGUCGGCCCGCUCGGAGGCAAACGUUGGACUCCGGAUGGAACCGCGAAGAUAAGACUUAGCGUUAACGAUUCUUCAAUCGUUAACGUUAAACACAUGUUAUUCAAGUGUGAGUUAGGACAAAUGAAACUGGUGAUUAACAUCACUUGUGGAGUUGCAUUCUUUCCAACUCUCGGUGGAACUCUGACGCAGCCACCUCCCCGUGGAAAAACAGAAGUAAGAAGCAGUUAUUUAUUGUGACAACGUCACAACGUCUUGUCCUUGUGCAUCGUAAUUUUUCUCUUAACAAUAGAAUUACAAUUUUCAUCCAGCAACUCGUUGCGUAUCAUUCUCAGCCGUUAGAAGAUUUUUUAUUUAAAAAAUAACUUUAUAUCAUUAAUCAUAAUAAAUAAAUAAAAUUGUG